AUUGCUUAAUAGUAUUUUUUUAUUGUUUGUUUUCUUGAGAGCAAGAAGGCAAAAUGGAAGUGAAGAAGUAAGAAUGGACAUCAUGAAAACAUCAGUAAGAAUUUCUGUUCUAAAAUCAACAGAUGGGUUGCUCAUUACAAGAUGAAGAAAAUCCAGCAGAACUGUGUGGAGCACUGAGGGCAUGGCAAAAUGAUGGAUCGUCAGUACCAGAUGGAUCCUGUUCUGACUUCCUUGUCAGUACCAACUGGGGUACAAAUCAUCUCACUUGACAUCAAACCUGUAACCGUUAGGUGUGAAGUUAAGCUGGCUGAAGAUCAGAUUUGGCUGCUAUGGACGUUCUAAGUGCAUCUACAGAGGAAGCUUAAUCUUUCCCAUCCCAGAUGGCUGUCUUGAAAGGGUAUGGGUUGCUAUCCUUAAUCACUCCUUUCUCUUUGCUGAAUAGAUAGGGAAUGUAAAUACUA